GAAGCCGUCUCAGUUUGCAAAGUGCCACAUGGACUGAAACGUGUGCAUUCUUGCACUCUUGACCAUUUUUAAAUAGAAAACAUUUACAUCUAGACCCAUAAUAAUGAUAUAAAGAUUAGUUCAAAAACUGAUCAGGGGGAACCAUUAUACAUCAUUAUUUGAGAGCUUUUAUUUCCUUUUGAAUAUUCUGACCCAAUCAAGUAAUCACAAGUCAUUCCACAUUUUAAGACUUUGAUCUUUGCGCAAAGCACGUGUUGCACCGAUUCAACAGCUGCAUGAGGAGAAAUCAUUCAGACAUGAUGCACUUUGAGGGAAACAACUCCGUUGGGUUUAGGCAACAAAACUACUUGGUAAGAUUAUUGUUUGGGUUAAAAUAGCUACGAUAGUGCUGAGAGACUAAAGUAUGGAAGUUACGUGGUCCCCUGGCUGAAAGAUCCCGGUUUAAUGGACCCCCCACUCACCAGUGCAGCUACGAAUGCUGGAUGGACCAGCAUAAGAAAGACCACAGAUGAUUCCCUGUUUACAACAAUGGAAGCCAACACAGCAGCCAG